AAAAAAGCGUUUCUCCGAGCCGGCCCGCCUAAAGGUGUUAACCCCCAAGGGAGCCGGACGACAGGGUUUGGCUGGAAACGGCUACGCCUCCCUUUUGGAAAGGAGGAACAGGACCAUUGGG
rnacentral:ncRNA from 2 species